rnacentral:rRNA from 1 species
UACGGGGGGAGCAAGCGUUGUUCGGAUUUACUGGGCGUAAAGGGCGCGUAGGCGGUCGUGACAAGUCACUUGUGAAAUCUCCGGGCUUAACUCGGAACGGUCAAGUGAUACUGUCGGACUAGAGUGCAGAAGGGGCAACUGGAAUUCUCGGUGUAGCGGUGAAAUGCGUAGAUAUCGAGAGGAACACCUGCGGCGAAGGCGGGUUGCUGGGCUGACACUGACGCUGAGGCGCGAAAGCCAGGGGAGCAAACGGG